CUACGGAGGGUCCAAGCGUUAUCCGGAUUCAUUGGGUUUAAAGGGUCCGCAGGCGGGAAAAUAAGUCAGUGGUGAAAGCCUACAGCUCAACUGUAGAACUGCCAUUGAAACUGUUUUUCUUGAGUAUAGAUGAAGUGGACGGAAUAUAUCAUGUAGCGGUGAAAUGCAUAGAUAUGAUAUAGAACACCGAUUGCGAAGGCAGCUCACUAAACUAUUACUGACGCUCAGGGACGAAAGCGUGGGGAGCGAACAGGAUUAGAAACCCUUGUAGUCC
rnacentral:rRNA from 1 species